rnacentral:rRNA from 1 species
UUCCAGCUCCAAUAGCGUAUAUUAAAGUUGUUGCGGUUAAAAAGCUCGUAGUUGAAUCUGUGGUCCGCGCUGUCGGUUCACCGCCCGCGGUGUUUAACUGGCACGUCUCGCGGACCGUCCUGCCGGUGGAUGAGUUGCCUUUUGUAUAUUCCAACAUUUGUGCAUACAUCAACCUUCGCGUUGUUUAUGUAUUAUCUGGCGGGGUUGCAGAUGUGUGACCAUCCGACUCAAUAAUCCUGUCGCGGUGCUCUUAAUUGAGUGUCGAGGCGGGCCGGCACGUUUACUUUGAACAAAUUAGAGUGCUCAAAGCAGGCUAAAAUUUUGCCUGAAUAUUGUGUGCAUGGAAUAAUGGAACAGGACCUCGGUUCUAUUUUGUUGGUUUUCGGAACCCCGAGGUAAUGAUUAAUAGGGACAGAUGG